rnacentral:rRNA from 1 species
AUGAGUCCACCAUACCUACCUAUAUACGGUAUCUACCUGCUGUUCCAAGUAAAUUUCUAUGUGCCAAACUCUAAACCUUCAAAUAAACAUUCUGUUUUGUAUGCUCGAAUAGCUCAUGUACCAACUAGGGAUGUUUGUAUCCUCCAUGCUAGGUGGGUUAUUCUCAAGAGGAGUGGACUCCGCUCCUCACUCACGAGAAAAUGGCUGGUCAUCGGGAUGCCCAGUCCCAUGCUUUAUGCAAAUCAAAUCAAAAUAACUGCAAACGAAACUCCCCCAGGACUCUUGUUAGUUGGAGGCACUCGUUGUUUUGAGCAAGCCAUGGAUUGA